rnacentral:rRNA from 1 species
GAUUAUAUUAAAGUCACAACGGUAAAAGAUGAGCAUGCGUCCCAUUAGCUAGUUGGUAAGGUAACGGCUUACCAAGGCUACGAUGGGUAGGGGUCCUGAGAGGGAGAUCCCCCACACUGGUACUGAGACACGGACCAGACUCCUACGGGAGGCAGCAGUGAGGAAUAUUGGACAAUGGGCGCAAGCCUGAUCCAGCCAUGCCGCGUGCAGGAUGACGGUCCUAUGGAUUGUAAACUGCUUUUAUACGAGAAGAAACACUACUUCGUGAAGUAGCUUGACGGUAUCGUAAGAAUAAGGAUCGGCUAACUCCGUGCCAGCAGCCGCGGUAAUACGGAGGAUCCAAGCGUUAUCCGGAAUCAUUGGGUUUAAAGGGUCCGUAGGCGGUUUAAUAAGUCAGUGGUGAAAGCCCAUCGCUCAACGGUGGAACGGCCAUUGAUACUGUUAGACUUGAAUUAUUAGGAAGUAACUAGAAUAUGUAGUGUAGCGGUGAAAUGCUUAGAGAUUACAUGGAAUACCAAUUGCGAAGGCAGGUUACUACUAAUUGAUUGACGCUGAUGGACGAAAGCGUGGGUAGCGAACAGGAUUAGAUACCCUGGUAGUCCACGCCGUAAACGAUGGAUACUAGCUGUUGGGAGCAAUCUCAGUGGCUAA